rnacentral:rRNA from 1 species
UUAAGUUAAUAAGGGCGCACGGUGGAUGCCUUGGCACUAGAAGCCGAUGAAGGACGUGACUAACGACGAAAUGCUUUGGGGAGCUGUAAGUGAGCAAUGAUCCAGAGAUGUCCGAAUGGGGGAACCCGGCAGGUAAUGCCUGUCACUCAUUACUGUUAAGGUAAUGUAGAGGAAGACGCAGUGAACUGAAACAUCUAAGUAGCUGCAGGAAGAGAAAGCAAAAGCGAUUGCCUUAGUAGCGGCGAGCGAAACGGCAAGAGGGCAAACCGAAGAGUUUACUCUUCGGGGUUGUAGGACUGCAACGUGGACUUAAAGAUUAUAGAAGAACUACCUGGGAAGGUAGGCCAAAGAGAGUAAUAGCCUCGUAUUCGAAAUAGUCUUUAUACCUAGCAGUAUCCUGAGUACGGCGAGACACGAGAAAUCUCGUCGGAAUCUGGGAGGACCAUCUCCCAACCCUAAAUACUCUCUAGUGACCGAUAGUGAACCAGUACCGUGAGGGAAAGGUGAAAAGCACCCCGGGAGGGGAGUGAAAUAGAACCUGAAACCGUGUGCCUACAACAAGUUCGAGCCCGUUAAUGGGUGAGAGCGUGCCUUUUGUAGAAUGAACCGGCGAGUUACGAUAUGAUGCGAGGUUAAGUUGAAGAGACGGAGCCGUAGGGAAACCGAGUCUUAAUAGGGCGUAUUAGUAUCAUGUCGUAGACCCGAAACCAUGUGACCUACCCAUGAGCAGGUUGAAGGUGAGGUAAAACUCACUGGAGGACCGAACCAGGGCACGUUGAAAAGUGCUUGGAUGACUUGUGGGUAGCGGAGAAAUUCCAAACGAACUUGGAGAUAGCUGGUUCUCUCCGAAAUAGCUUUAGGGCUAGCGUCGAUGUUAAGUCUCUUGGAGGUAGAGCACUGUUUGGGUGAGGGGUCCAUCCCGGAUUACCAAUCUCAGAUAAACUCCGAAUGCCAACGAGAUAUAAUCGGCAGUCAGACUGCGAGUGCUAAGAUCCGUAGUCGAAAGGGAAACAGCCCAGACCACCAGCUAAGGUCCCAAAAUAUAUGUUAAGUGGAAAAGGAUGUGGGGUUGCACAGACAACUAGGAUGUUAGCUUAGAAGCAGCUAUUCAUUCAAAGAGUGCGUAAUAGCUCACUAGUCGAGUGACCCUGCGCCGAAAAUGUACCGGGGCUAAAACAUAUUACCGAAGCUGUGGAUACCUUUAUAGGUAUGGUAGGAGAGCGUUCUAUGUGCGAAGAAGGUGUACCGUGAGGAGUGCUGGAGCGCAUAGAAGUGAGAAUGCCGGUAUGAGUAGCGAAAGACAGGUGAGAAUCCUGUCCACCGUAAGACUAAGGUUUCCAGGGGAAGGCUCGUCCGCCCUGGGUUAGUCGGGACCUAAGGAGAGACCGAAAGGUGUAUCCGAUGGACAACAGGUUGAUAUUCCUGUACUAGAGUAUAUAGUGAUGGAGGGACGCAGUAGGCUAACUAAACCAGACGAUUGGAAGUGUCUGGCCAAGCAGUGAGGUGUGAUAUGAGUCAAAUGCUUAUAUCUAUAACAUUGAGCUGUGAUGGGGAGCGAAGUUUAGUAGCGAAGUUAGUGAUGUCACACUGCCGAGAAAAGCUUCUAGCGUUAAUUAUACUCUACCCGUACCGCAAACCGACACAGGUAGUCGAGGCGAGUAGCCUCAGGUGAGCGAGAGAACUCUCGUUAAGGAACUCGGCAAAAUGGCCCCGUAACUUCGGGAGAAGGGGCGCUGACUUAUGGUCAGCCGCAGUGAAUAGGCCCAAGCAACUGUUUAUCAAAAACACAGCUCUCUGCUAAAUCGUAAGAUGAUGUAUAGGGGGUGACGCCUGCCCGGUGCUGGAAGGUUAAGAGGAGUGCUUAGCAAUAGCGAAGGUAUGAAUUGAAGCCCCAGUAAACGGCGGCCGUAACUAUAACGGUCCUAAGGUAGCGAAAUUCCUUGUCGGGUAAGUUCCGACCCGCACGAAAGGCGUAAUGAUUUGGGCACUGUCUCAACGAGAGACUCGGUGAAAUUUUAGUACCUGUGAAGAUGCAGGUUACCCGCGACAGGACGGAAAGACCCCAUGGAGCUUUACUGCAGUUUGAUAUUGAGUAUCUGUACCACAUGUACAGGAUAGGUAGGAGCCUAUGACCUCGGGACGCCAGUUUCGAGUGAGGCGUUGUUGGGAUACUACCCUUGUGUUAUGGCUACUCUAACCCAGAUAGGUUAUCCCUAUCGGAGACAGUGUCUGACGGGCAGUUUGACUGGGGCGGUCGCCUCCUAAAAGGUAACGGAGGCGCCCAAAGGUUCCCUCAGAAUGGUUGGAAAUCAUUCGCAGAGUGUAAAGGUAUAAGGGAGCUUGACUGCGAGAGUUACAACUCGAGCAGGGACGAAAGUCGGGCUUAGUGAUCCGGUGGUUC